AACACGAUGGCCAAUCAGCACAAUGAGGCUCUUGAGACUUUGAAGAAAAGGGUAAUGGGUUGUUCCUACACCUCACCCACAACGCACAGUUAAUCCUGUCACCUCAGAGAAGUAAUGAACUAAAGAUCAUUUUUUUUCAUACGUUAGUUUCAGGCCCAAAUUCGAGGGAUGGAGGAAGACAAGGGAAAGCAUCAGCUGACUGCCGAGUUGAGAGAAAAGGAGAUGAACAGUUUCAAGGAAGAGCUCAAGUCAUUGCAGUUGCGCAAGUACAGUUUGGAGAAGAAGUUAAGCGAGCUGGUAAGCACUGGACUGA
ensembl:lncRNA